AACGAACGCUGGCGGCAGGCCUAACACAUGCAAGUCGAGCGAACCCUUCGGGGUUAGCGGCGGACGGGUUAGUAACGCGUGGGAAUAUACCCUUUGGUACGGAAUAGCCUCGGGAAACUGAGAGUAAUACCGUAUGUGCCCUUCGGGGGAAAGAUUUAUCGCCAAAGGAUUAGCCCGCGUUGGAUUAGAUAGUUGGUGGGGUAAUGGCCUACCAAGUCUACGAUCCAUAGCUGGUUUGAGAGGAUGAUCAGCAACACUGGGACUGAGACACGGCCCAGACUCCUACGGGAGGCAGCAGUGGGGAAUCUUAGACAAUGGGCGCAAGCCUGAUCUAGCCAUGCCGCGUGGACGAUGAAGGCCUUAGGGUUGUAAAGUCCUUUCAGAUGGGAAGAUAAUGACGGUACCAUCAGAAGAAGCCCCGGCUAACUCCGUGCCAGCAGCGCGGUAAUGUCUGUACU
rnacentral:rRNA from 1 species